rnacentral:rRNA from 1 species
CUACUCCUACGGGGCGCAGCAGUGAGGAAUAUUGGUCAAUGGGCGGAAGCCUGAACCAGCCAAGUCGCGUGAGGGAAUAAGGCCCUACGGGUCGUAAACCUCUUUUGCCGGGGAGCAAGGGCCGGGACGCGUCCCGGCCCGGAGAGUACCCGGAGAAAAAGCAUCGGCUAACUCCGUGCCAGCAGCCGCGGUAAUACGGAGGAUGCGAGCGUUAUCCGGAUUUAUUGGGUUUAAAGGGUGCGUAGGCGGGCUUUUAAGUCAGCGGUAAAAAUUCGGGGCUCAAACCCGGCCCGCCCUUUAAACUG